UGUGAGCAGAGACCAGGGGAGACCUUCCCCUCAAAACCCUAACAUCAUAAAUCCAUCAAAUUAAGAAGGAAAUUGAAGGCUAGUUGAAUGCAUGAACUAGGAAUGUGAUCCCUUAAGUGUUCUUGACAUCAAGCACGAAGAAAGAAGAAGGCGCAAGUCACUUGAAGUCGCAAGCAUCGCAAAAUCACGGUAAAUCUCAAGCUUGAUGUUGGCGAGCUCGGACCGAACACACCAUAUCGCCCUUUAUACGCUUCCGGUUAAAGUUGUCUUUUAAAAAUGCGUCGAAACACUUUCCUAAUGUAAAUGUUGAACCUAUGUUUAGGAUGUUUCGUAAGUAAAUUUAGGAUUUUAAAACUUUAUUUUGGUAGUUUGGUCAUAACGCUUUGAUGAAAUCUUGUAUGGUUACGAUUUAUAUGUCUUUUGAAAG